rnacentral:rRNA from 1 species
AACGCGAAGAACCUUACCUACCCUUGGCAUGCCACUAACGAAGUAGAGAUACAUUAGGUGCCCGUAAGGGAAAGUGGACACAGGUGCCGCAUGGCUGUCGUCAGCUCGUGUCGUGAGAUGUUGGGUUAAGUCCCGCAACGAGCGCAACCCUUGUCUCUAGUUGCUACGCAAGAGCACUCUAGAGAGACUGCCGGUGACAAACCGGAGGAAGGUGGGGAUGACGUCAAGUCCUCAUGGCCCUUAUGGGUAGGGCUUCACACGUCAUACAAUGGUGCAUACAGAGGGUUGCCAACCCGCGAGGGGGAGCUAAUCUCAGAAAAUGCAUCGUAGUCCGGAUCGUAGUCUGCAACUCGACUACGUGAAGCUGGAAUCGCUAGUAAUCGCGGAUCAGAAUGUCGCGGUGAAUACGUUCCCGGGUCUUGUACACACCG